UAGCAGCACAUUAUGGUUUGUGGAUUUUGGAAAGGCGCAGGCCAUAUUGUGCUGCCUCC
rnacentral:pre_miRNA from 1 species